AUGAACUACAUGCUCGAGAAGGAGUACACCGCAGCCGAGGUAAAGGCCACAUUAUUUGAAAUGGCGCCGUCGAAAGCGCCAGGCGUGGAUGGUUUCACAAUCGGAUUCUACCAAUGACACUGGGAUGUCGUCGGGGGUGACAUUACCUUGGCUAUACUGAGCUUUUUGAAUGAAGGGGAGCUCCCUUUGGGGCUCAACGAUACGGCCAUCAUGCUGAUCCCAAAGGUCAGGUACCCACAGAAGAUUUCUCAGUAUUGACCAAUAGCUUUAUGUCCAGUUUUGUACAAGAUUGCCGUCAAGACUGUGGCAAACAGACUCUGUCUCAUAUUGGAUGAUGUCAUAGGGGACGAACAGAGCGCGUUUGUGCCGGGACGCUUGAUCAUGGACAACGUUCUAGUGGCCUACGAGUGCAUCCAUGCUAUCAGAAAAAGAAAGAAGGGCAAGAACUAUAGUUGUGCUGUGAAACUGGAUAUGCUCAAGGCGUAUGAUCGUGUGGAGUGGCACUACCUAGAAGCCAUGCUGGUGUUGUUGGGCUUCGACGACAGCUUCAUCAGCCUUAUAAUGAAAUGUGUCACUUAUGUUAGAUUCACAAUCAAGGUUAACAGUGAGUUGCUGCCAUACUUUAACCCAUCUAGGGGGCUUCAGCAAGGCUGUCCAGUCUCACCUUACAUGUUCCUUGUCUACGCUCAAGGACUCACAUCACUUCUCAACAAUUAUGGUGGUGCACGCAUCGACAGAGGCAUUCAUGUGAGUAUCCAUGCACCAUGGGUUAGUCAUCUAUUAUUUGCUGACGAUAGUCUCAUUUUUCUUGGUGCUAAGACAAAAAGUGCAGAGAGGCUCAAUGAAAUUCCGCAAAUCUAUGCUGACUGUUCGGGUCAGGCGGUGAAUAAGGAGAAGAGCUCCAUUUUCUUCAGUGGCAACUUGGGACAGCCCCUCCGUGCACAUAUAAAACAUGUGCUCAGGAUAUCAGCCGAGGCGUUUUCUGAGAGCUAUCUAGGCUUACCCACAACCAUUGGAAGAAUCACUAGCAGAACUUUCCAACAUAUCAGUGAACGUAUCCGCAGCAAGAUAAGUGGAUGGUCAGAGAGGAACUUAGCCUGUGCAGGGAGGGAGGUCUUACUAAAAUCUAUUACCCAAGCAAUCCCAACUUACAGUAUGAGUUGCUUCCUGCUGACCAAGAAAGUGUGCAAGGAUAUCACUUCACCUAUGGCCAAGUACUGGUGGGAAAGCUCCAUUAAUAAGCGAUCCCUGCACUGGCUGGCGUGGAAUAAAUUGACAGUGCCAAAAAUCAAAGGAGGUUUGGGCUUUCGGGAUCCCCAAUUAUUCAAUCUAGCAAUGCUUGGCAAACAAGGAUGGUGUAUCCCGACUAACCCAGACCCUUUGUGUUCAAGGGUGUUGAAAGGAAAGUACUUCCUGAUGAGGAUACAGACCCAGGAUAGGGUCAUAGGCCUGACCUAUACGCCCUACCCAAGGUCACUACCCCAGAAUCAAAGAAGUCCAAGAGAUGACAAAGAACCCCCAGUCAAAGGUGUCGAGUGCAAUCCACUCGACCAAUCAUAUCACUCGGGUACCCUUCUUACCUGA
rnacentral:rRNA from 1 species